rnacentral:rRNA from 1 species
GCUUGUCUCAAAGAUUAAGCCAUGCAUGUCUAAGUAUAAGCCUUUAUAUGGUGAGACUGCGAAUGGCUCAUUAAAUCAGAAACUGUUUAUUUGAUAGUGCCUACUACAUGGAUACCUGUAGUAAUUCUAGAGCUAAUACAUGCGUAAAAUCCCGACUCUCGCGGGGAGGGAUGUAUUUAUUAGAUAAAAAACCAAUGCGGGGCAACCCGGUUUUGUGGUGAAUCAUAGUAACUUUUCGGAUCGCAUAGCUUCACGCUGGCGAUAGUUCAUUCAAAUUUCUGCCCUAUCAGCUUUCGACGGUAGUGUAGUGGACUACCGUGGCGUUAACGGGUGACGGAGAAUUAGGGUUCGAUUCCGGAGAGGGAGCCUGAGAAACGGCUACCACAUCCAAGGAAGGCAGCAGG